AUUGGUCAAUGGGCGCAAGCCUGAACCAGCCAUCCCGCGUGCAGGAAGACGGCCCUAUGGGUUGUAAACUGCUUUUCCGGGGGGAGUAUUUUUCCGUCGUGACGGGAAUGGACGGUACCUCGGGCAUAAGCAUCGGCUAACUCCGUGCCAGCAGCCGCGGUAAUACGGAGGAUGCGAGUGUUAUCCGGAUUUAUUGGUUUUAAAGGGUGCGUAGGCGGAAUGCUAAGUCAGUGGUGAAACCCUGCAGCUUAACUGUAGACUUGCCGUUGAUACUGUCAGUCUUGAGUGUGGUCAAGGUAGGCGGAAUGUGUAAUGUAGCGGUGAAAUGCUUAGAUAUUACACAGAACACCGAUUGCGAAGGCAGCUUACUGGGCCAUUACUGACGCUGAUGUACGAAAGCGUGGGGAUCGAACAG
rnacentral:rRNA from 1 species